UUAGAAGGGUAUAAUGGUCAAUUUGGGGAACUUUCCAAGCCCAUAAAUACCCCAAUUAUCAUAUUUCUGUAUUACAGCGAGCCCUAACCCUAGAAUUCGACCAUGUCUAGCAAGCAAGGAGGCAAAGCUAAGCCCCUGAAGCAGCCUAAGGCUGAGAAGAAGGAAUACGACGAGACGGACAUGGCUAACAUUCAAAAGAAGAAGGAAGAAGAGAAGGCUCUUAAGGAGCUAAGGGCAAAGGCUCAGCAGAAAGGAUCAUUUGGAGGUUCUGGCUUGAAGAAAAGUGGCAAGAAAUGAGACCUGAUUUUUGUGUUGAAUUGGAUUGGUACCUUUCGAA